GGUCUCAUAAGGGCCACUUUAAGUACCAGUGAUCGCAAUUAAAUCCAAACGGAUUUGAAACUUCACCACCUAAUGACAUUGCACUUGGGAAGCAGUUGAUUCACUGGAGUUCAAAUAAUGAUGGAUCAGCAUUGUACAUUAGCAGGACAAAGCUUCUCCAGCAUGAUCAAAAUGGUCAUUCUACCAUGAGAUGGAGGAUCAGCUCUUUCCCAUCAAGUGUCUCUAUCUCUUUGAAAUGGCUGCUGACUCUGAUGGACUAGAAAUAAGCUGGACACUUAAGCAUGGAAUAUUUCACUGCAUUUGUGGACACGGCUUGAAGCAAGUGGAUUUUUCAGGCAGUGGGGUGAGGAGAGUACUGAGCCAUUGUAACACAAUGACCAUUACAAAUAAAUAAAAUGAUGGACUUUUAUCCCAGAGAGACACAAUCCAGCAGUACUGGUUCUUUUGUAAGUUUGUGAGCACUUUAAAGAA